rnacentral:rRNA from 1 species
ACGUAGGAUCCAAGCGUUAUCCGGAUUUACUGGGUUUAAAGGGAGCGUAGGCGGGAAUGCAAGUCAGAUGUGAAAGCUGAUGGCUCAACCCUGGAACUGCAGUUGAAACUGUAUGUCUUGAGUGUAGAAGAGGAAAGUGGAAUUCAUAGUGUAGCGGUGAAAUGAGUAGAUAUUAGGAGGACCGCCAGUGGCGAAGGGACGUUAACAGACAUUACAUCAUGAUGAGGCGCGACGCCGUGGGGACCAAACAG